CGACGGUUGUCCCGGUUUAAGCGUGUAGGCUGGUUUUCCAGGCAAAUCCGGAAAAUCAAGGCUGAGGCGUGAUGACGAGGCACUACGGUGCUGAAGCAACAAAUGCCCUGCUUCCAGGAAAAGCCUCUAAGCAUCAGGUAACAUCAAAUCGUACCCCAAACCGACACAGGUGGUCAGGUAGAGAAUACCAAGGCGCUUGAGAGAACUCGGGUGAAGGAACUAGGCAAAAUGGUGCCGUAACUUCGGGAGAAGGCACGCUGACAUGUAGGUGAAGUGAUUUACUCAUGGAGCUGAAGUCAGUCGAAGAUACCAGCUGGCUGCAACUGUUUAUUAAAAACACAGCACUGUGCAAACACGAAAGUGGACGUAUACGGUGUGACGCCUGCCCGGUGCCGGAAGGUUAAUUGAUGGGGUCAGCGCAAGCGAAGCUCCUGAUCGAAGCCCCGGUAAACGGCGGCCGUAACUAUAACGGUCCUAAGGUAGCGAAAUUCCUUGUCGGGUAAGUUCCGACCUGCACGAAUGGCGUAAUGAUGGCCAGGCUGUCUCCACCCGAGACUCAGUGAAAUUGAACUCGCUGUGAAGAUGCAGUGUACCCGCGGCAAGACGGAAAGACCCCGUGAACCUUUACUAUAGCUUGACACUGAACAUUGAGCCUUGAUGUGUAGGAUAGGUGGGAGGCUUUGAAGUGUGGACGCCAGUCUGCAUGGAGCCGGCCUUGAAAUACCACCCUUUAAUGUUUGAUGUUCUAACGUGGACCCGUAAUCCGGGUUGCGGACAGUGUCUGGUGGGUAGUUUGACUGGGGCGGUCUCCUCCUAAAGAGUAACGGAGGAGCACGAAGGUUGGCUAAUCCUGGUCGGACAUCAGGAGGUUAGUGCAAUGGCAUAAGCCAGCUUGACUGCGAGCGUGACGGCGCGAGCAGGUGCGAAAGCAGGUCAUAGUGAUCCGGUGGUUCUGAAUGGAAGGGCCAUCGCUCAACGGAUAAAAGGUACUCCGGGGAUAACAGGCUGAUACCGCCCAAGAGUUCAUAUCGACGGCGGUGUUUGGCACCUCGAUGUCGGCUCAUCACAUCCUGGGGCUGAAGUAGGUCCCAAGGGUAUGGCUGUUCGCCAUUUAAAGUGGUACGCGAGCUGGGUUUAGAACGUCGUGAGACAGUUCGGUCCCUAUCUGCCGUGGGCGCUGGAGAACUGAGGGGGGCUGCUCCUAGUACGAGAGGACCGGAGUGGACGCAUCACUGGUGUUCGGGUUGUCAUGCCAAUGGCACUGCCCGGUAGCUAAAUGCGGAAGAGAUAAGUGCUGAAAGCAUCUAAGCACGAAACUUGCCCCGA
rnacentral:rRNA from 1 species